AAAGCAGAAGAGAGCACAGACAGGAUGCCUGACCCAAAUCAGCCAAAGGGCUAUUCCAUACCACAGCACAUCAUGCCCAGUAUAGAAACUGGGGGAGUUAUCCGGAAGGGAUCAA